rnacentral:lncRNA from 1 species
UUUAAUAUUUAUUUUUUAGUUUUCAGUGGACACAACAUCUUUAUUUUAUUUGUAUGUGGUGCUGAGGAUCGAACCCAGCGCCCCUCGCAUGCCAGGCGAGUGCGCUAGCCGCUUGAGCCACAUCCCCAGCCCCGGGUCCAGUACUUUUAAUCUCCCACAUUGUCUCUCUUGGUCUGGCUGUCCUCCUCACACACCACGUUCAAGAUGCAAGUUCCUUGCUCAAGAAGCCAUGUGUCAAUCUAGCCACAUGUUUUUACCUGUCUUUCAAGGCCCCUGCACUAGACCCAUCUCAACUCUAUGAUGGGUUUUGGGUGAACGAAGCCAGGUUCCCUGACUCCCUGAGACAUCCCAGUCUUGUUGGUUCCUUCUCUAAUCAAACUGUAGACACCUUUAGAUGAGAAGCUACAAUGUAAAAUUCUCCCAUGGCACUCCAAACCCAAGUAUAGAGAAAAUAUUUACGACUCAAUUGUUAAUGGAGAGAGAGAAAGAAAUACAAGGCCGUAAGGAUGUCUAAGAAUAAGGAAGUCCUUUUUCAGAUGCAUUAAAGAGUCCUCUGACUAAGGAACCUCCUGCCUAAGUCAUUAUUCACUUGCCUUCCUGGGUUUCUCCCAGCUACCUCCUUCUUGGGGAACCUAUUUUAGCCAUCGGGUGACUGUUAACAAUUUUCUUUCCCUUCAUGACCUGAGUGUGGUCAAAAAUGCCUCUUUAUAAUUGUCCUCAAUCUCAAUCUCAAUCUUUAUAAUCUGUCUUCAAUCUCUGAGAUAGAUGGCCUCAAAGUUGGUUAGUUAUUAACUAAUUAUUUAAUUUAGGUUUGUUUUGCCAAGAGGAAUUCUAUGAAAAUCCCUAUUGCCCAUCAGCCUGGGGCUUGUGGAAAGAGGGAGCACUGAGAAAAAAGUUUGAGGUCCCUCCUACUUUUUAAGGAGGGGACCUAGGGUCUGGGCUCCUUUCCUGGAGCACAGCCCUCUGCUUUGCAACUUUGCAGAAAGUGAGCAGCUGGCAGGAGAGUUGCAUUUUUUAGGCCCUAGGCUGCUCCUUCUUAUCUCAGGGAGGCUUGAUUUACUUUCCUCUAUCUUAUCACAGUCCAGGGCUCUGGUGAUGGAUUUCACCUUCGGCAUUUGCAAGGGGAGGUUGCUUCUUGCCAAGGGCACUCCCCCAAAGACAGAAUGAGAGGAGACAGCUCUGUGCUGGAUCCAUCCUUUGCUUCCUGCCUCCCCCAGCUCAGGUGGAGAGAGGAGGACCCUGCCCUUACUGAACUGGAGAGAAAGAGAUGGGAUACUGCUGCUUAGCAAGAAUAUAUAAAACUGCUUUUUCCCAGAUUUGGCCCAGACCUGCCUUUAUUUGAGAUAUCUCAGGGAAAUAGGAAGAAAAAAAUAAUAGUAUCCCUGUAGUGCUCUCCUCUUUAUUAUAUGGCCAUUCAAGUGCCUUUUCUAAUUUAAUCUUCAAAACAACUAAAGGGGCUGGGAUUGUAGCUCAGCGGUACAGCACUCGCCUAGCACACACAGAGCCCUGGGUUUGAUCCUCAGCACCACAUAAAAAAAUAAAUAAAUAAAACAAAG